GCUCUUUCCCGACCGGAUGUUAUCUAAAUCCCUAAAUGUCUCAGUCGCAAGCAACCUAACUAUGGCACAUGUCGCAGGGCCCCACUCGGAUGACUAGUUUUGAGGCAGGCAUCUCAAUCUCGAUAGCUGACUGGCAGAGGGUGAAAGCCUAGAAGACGCCUAGAACUCAUAAGGAAUAGGCACUGUACCGGCAGCGAACUCUAAGGUUUGGCUUUUUCUUUUAUUGACUUUCUUGAGUCAAUGUCGCAUUUCGCGUGCUUGGUUAGAUCUCCUAACCUAAUGUAAUGAACGAGAAGGUGAAAAAUUCAGUCUUAGCUAAGCAUUCGAAUUCUGGGUAAGAUUUAGAUCUGCUAACCUAAUGUAAUGAACGAGAAGGUGAAUAAUUCAGUAUUAGUUAAGCAUUCGAAUUCUGGGUAAGAGGAAAUCUUUCUUUCUAGGGAAUCUAUGCUUACUAAGCCUUUGUUUGAAGGACCAGUCUUAAAGUGAAGUGCAAGACUAGCUGGACCCGGACUGACUAAUCGCUAACAUCCCGGGUUCUCUCGGGACCGGGAGAACUCUCAGUUAAGUACGGCAUUCAGUAAGAAGUAAGCCAAGUUCUAUUAGCUCUUCUAACUUGUCUUAGACUCGUCAGUCUGUGAUGCAUUGAGUUGAGAGUCAAAGGAUAAAGGAGUAGAAAACCUUAUAACUGAAAAAGAUUCGAGUGAAAGCCAGCUGCAUGAAGUCCAUCAAUAGUACUUUAGCUUUUUCAAUCAAUCUUCUUUUGAUUUUAUUCUCGGCUGGUUGAUAUUACAAUACGUCAGUUAUUUAAGAUUCAAUCCCCCUGGAAGACUAAAAGAAUUUAGCUUUCCUGAAAAAAGUAAACUUACGGAAGCAUCUAUCUCUAUCACGCACUUCAAUCCACACAUAAGACGAUUCCUCUUUCUAUACUCAAUUACGUAAGAGCCCAGCUAGAUUGUCUCUGUCUGGCAGUUUAUGCCUCGGUCCACCAGCCUCUUUUCAAUCCAGGAGCUGCAUGAUAAGAAAGCUCUCGAUCUCGGCUAGCUUCAGUUAGUUAAAUAGACCAGGAAAGUCGUACUGCAACUAUGC
rnacentral:lncRNA from 1 species